UACAGAGGUCCCAAGCGUUACUGAGAAUCACUGGGUUUAAAGGGUGCGUAGGUGGUCCGUUAAGUCAGUUGUGAAAUCCCCGGGCUUAACCUGGGAAUGGCAUUUGGGACUGCAAGGCUUGAGUGCGGCAGAGGAGACUGGAAUUCCUGGUGUAGCAGUGAAAUGCGUAGAUAUCAGGAGGAACACCGAUGGCGAAGGCAGGUCUCUGGGCUGACACUGACGCUCAUGCACGAAAGCGUGGGGAGCAAACAGG
rnacentral:rRNA from 1 species